UUUGGCAGCUGGAUGUUGCCUUGAACUUGCCCGAUCUCGUCUCAUCUCGGAAGCUAAGCAGGGUCGGGCCUGGUGAGUACUAGGAUGGGAGACCACUUAGGCAUACCAGGUGCUGUAGGCG
rnacentral:rRNA from 1 species